AGAGCGAACGCUGGCGGCAUGCUUAACACAUGCAAGUCGCACGGGCAGGCUUCGGCUUGUCAGUGGCGGACGGGUGAGUAACGCGUAGGUAUCUAUCCAUGGGUGGGGGAUAACGCUGGGAAACUGGUGCUAAUACCGCAUGACACCUGAGGGUCAAAGGCGCAAGUCGCCUGUGGAGGAGCCUUCGUCCGAUUAGCUAGUUGGUGGGGUAAAGGCCUACCAAGGCGACGAUCGGUAGCUGGUCUGAGAGGAUGAUCAGCCACAUUGGGACUGAGACACGGCCCAAAACUCCUACGGGAGGCAGCAGUGGGGAAUAUUGGACAAUGGGCGCAAGCCUGAUCCAGCAAUGCCGCGUGGAUGAAGAAAGGUUUUCGGAUUGUAAAAGUCCUUUCGGCGGGGACGAUGAUGACGGUACCGCAGAAGAAGCCCCGGCUAACUUCGUGCCAGCAGCCGC
rnacentral:rRNA from 1 species